rnacentral:rRNA from 1 species
AUUGAACGCUGGCGGCAGGCCUAACACAUGCAAGUCGAACGGUAACAGGAAGAAGCUUGCUUCUUUGCUGACGAGUGGCGGACGGGUGAGUAAUGUCUGGGACACUGCCUGAUGGAGGGGGAUAACUACUGGAAACGGUAGCUAAUACCGCAUAACGUCGCAAGACCAAAGAGGGGGACCUUCGGGCCUCUUGCCAUCGGAUGUGCCCAGAUGGGAUUAGCUAGUAGGUGGGGUAACGGCUCACCUAGGCGACGAUCCCUAGCUGGUCUGAGAGGAUGACCAGCCACACUGGAACUGAGACACGGUCCAGACUCCUACGGGAGGCAGCAGUAGGGAAUAUUGCACAAUGGGCGCAAGCCUGAUGCAGCCAUGCCGCGUGUAUGAAGAAGGCCUUCGGGUUGUAAAGUACUUUCAGCGGGGAGGAAGAGAGUAAAGUUAAUACCUUUGCUCAUUGACGGUACCCGCAGAAGAAGCACCGGCUAACUCCGUG